UCCCAGAUAUCUGGUAAAGAAUCUGCCUGCAAUGCAGGAGACCCUGGUUUGAUUCCUGGGUCGGGAA
rnacentral:tRNA from 1 species